rnacentral:lncRNA from 1 species
CUAUCUUAGAAUUUGCUGCUUUAGAGGCACGGCAUUUAGUGUCACAUUAAUUUACUGUUUUAGACACGUGGCAUGUGGUAUCCCACUACACUUGGUAUAAGCUGUCAUACUGUAAGUUUAAAUUG